ensembl:bidirectional_promoter_lncRNA
GGGUUGGCCUGAGUGUUUAAAUUGCUACAGUGCUGGCCCCGUGGCCUUGUGACUUCAACAGGGGGAUGUCCUUUUCCCAAUGGAGUAUGAUGUGUGUAUCUGCUUCUUCCCCCUUCUCUUCCAUAAGGAGACGGCAUUGGUUAGAAUAAGGCCUCCGUGGCAGGACUGUCUUCCCUACCCCAAGAAAGGGAUACAACUAGCCUCUAGGCUUCUCCAAGGGACAUUGGAAGAGCACUCCGAUGCCCGACUCCAUCUCUGCCUUGUCUUCCUGGAAACCCCUGGCUAUGUCAAGAGAUGAAAGCCACGCUAUCACGCACCAGCUGCUCCAGGAAUCCACACUGGGCUCUGGAAUCAUAACCAGACCGAAUGUUUGCCUUUCGCCUCCUACCUGAGGGAAGACAGACAGUGUGUUCUGCAUGGAAGGCUAUGCCCGGAAUCUCUUCACUGUGUACCAGCUGGACAAGCAUAAUUGAGGGAGGUUCAGCUGGAAAGGCCAGCAGUGGAAUCCAGUGGAGAGCCUGGCAUUCUAUGCUGUGUGCUGUUCAUUCACCAGAGCCUUGUCUACAGCACCACUGACUCUGAACUGGGGCAGCAGCACACAGGUUCUCACCAGUCUCAGGAGAACAAGGGCCUGCCCCGAAGGUCAGGGGCAGCAUCCACACUUAGGGAGAGAGCACCUGUCAGGCAAGUCAGCACUGCUUCUCGUUUUGUGGAACUAUUCCAGUGUAGCCAGGUCCCUCCAGAGUCCAGAGGAGAGACCCCCUUGUUUAUUGAACCUGGCAUUCUCUGAUGUUUUUGGUCUGGCAAACCUCACUGCUAGAUAAAUGUAUAUGCUCUCCCUG